rnacentral:rRNA from 1 species
GACGAACGCUGGCGGCGUGCCUAAUACAUGCAAGUUGAGCGCUGAAGGUUGGUACUUGUACCAACUGGAUGAGCAGCGCACGGGUGAGUAACGCGUGGGGAAUCUGCCUUUGAGCGGGGGACAACAUUUGGAAACGAAUGCUAAUACCGCAUAAAAACUUUAAACACAAGUUUUAAGUUUGAAAGAUGCAAUUGCAUCACUCAAAGAUGAUCCCGCGUUGUAUUAGCUAGUUGGUGAGGUAAAGGCUCACCAAGGCGAUGAUACAUAGCCGACCUGAGAGGGUGGUCGGCCACAUUGGGACGGUGACACGGCCCAAACGCCUACGGGAGGCAGCAGUAGGGAAUCUUCGGCAAGGGACGAAAGUCUGACCGAGCAACGCCGAGUGAGGGAAGAAGGUUUUCGGAUCGUAAAACUCGGUUGGUAGGGAAGAACGUUGGUGAGAGUGGAAAGCUCAGCAAGUGACGGUAACUACCCAGAAAGGGACGGCUAACUACGUG